GAGCAUCUGCAUCACCACCAUGAAAGUAUAGGAAGGGUCUGAGAGCGGCCCUACCUCCAAGAUAUAGCAGCUAAUGGCUUCUGGGGAGGCACAUGAAUGUAUCAAGAAUUCAGCAUAAACAAAAAUUUUAUAAUAAUAAUCAUCACUCUCUAGCUAGCUAGCUAUAAUUUAUGCUCUGUACAACAUUUUGGCUCUCUGAUCGAGGGUCAAAGGUCAAUCACGUAGCUAAAUAGACACCUAUGAAGAAUUUCGAUACUAUGACGGCGAGUUGCAUGCCCUCUUUUCUAUAAUUAUACACCCUUGGUGUAAAGGUUUCCAAUAUAAAUACACUUACUGUACCGUAUAUUGCGUGUACAUUUCGAGGGCAUAAAUAUUCGCGGUUUUCGCUGAUUAAGCAUGUAUCAUGAACACUUAUACCCACUAAUUUAAUACCGCAUGCUGCAGAAGGCUGCUAUUCCACGAGUAGAAAACCUUUCUAACGGUCCUUCUGCGAAAGUUUAUACCCGAAAUAUACCCGGUACGGCUGCAUGUGUGCAUGCCUACACCCGUAUAAUCAUAGAAUACUGUAGGUUUCACUGAAUACUUGGUGUUUGUGUAUUUUUGCAUACCAGUAUGUUCAUAGUGUUGGUUCUAAAAAGAGAUCAAAUAAAAACACCGGAUCUUAUACUAACAAUAAACUAACAGUACGAUAGAGUAUUAGGUUUCAAUAUAAUCAGUGCUUUUGUAAUUAUUGACACUUUUAGUGUUUGCAUGCUUCAGCAAGCAGCUGCAUGUAGUUGCUUUAAAAAAAACACUAGAAAACAGAAUAAACUAACAGUACGAUAGAAAUAAUUCAGUAUUAGGUUUCAAUAUAAUCAGUGCUUUUGUAAUUAUUGACACUUUUAGUGUUUGCAUGCUUCAGCAAGCAGCUGCAUGUAGUUGCUUUAAAAAAAACAGAAUCCUUUUUUAUAGUUAAGCUUUGAAGAUGACAAUACUUGGAGUGAUUUUGAUUGUACUACAGGUAGUUCUAGUGUCAAGUCAAGCAUGCCCAACAUGGUUUGUACGCCAAGCAAACAAGUGUGAGUGUGGACAACAGAUCAAUACUAUAUUGCAGUGCUCGAAUGUGACAAACAAGAUAAAAAUAUUAGAUGGUUUCUGCUUAACUUACAACAAUGACACAGAGCAUUUUGGAGCCUGCCCAUACAACACGAAAAGUCAACUAUCAAAAUUCAUGGAUGUACCCUCUGAUGUAUCAAAGCUAGAUGAGGAGAUGUGUGGUCCUCUCAAUCGCACAGGACUGCUCUGUAGUCGCUGCCAACCAGCUGGGACCGGCCGUCUUCUCUUACUAUAAAGAGUGUAAGGAAUGCAUGCCACAACCUUUAGGAUGGUUACUCUUCUUUGUCAGGCUUACAGUACCAUUGACUUUGAUCUGUGUGAUUGUUAUUGUGUUCCGAAUAAAUUUUGCCUCUCCAGUUCUGAAUAGCUUCGUUUUGAUGGCUCAGGUGCUAAACGUGACAAUGUGUAGUAAUUACCCAUUUAAUAUAAGCGGAUAUACCUACUCUUAUUCCUUUUAUAAGUUUUCCGCUGAUUUUGUGGGGCUAUUUAAUUUGGACUUCUUCAUGUUCCUAAUUCCUUCAUUUUGCAUCAGUGAGCACAUGAGCACACUCACAGUCGUAGCAUUGGAGUACCUAGAAGCUCUGUAUCCAAUCGCUUUCACUUUGGCUAUCUACUUGCUCAUUUCACUCCACGACAGAGGAUGCGAGAUAAUUGUGAUUUGCUGGAGGCCAUUUCACAAGUGCUUAGCAAGGUUUCGAAGACGCUGGGAACUAAAAGGUCCUGUAGUAAAUGCAUUUGCAACCUUCUUCUUACUAUCCUACACCAAGUUUUGUUCAAUUUCAAUUAGCCUGUUUAAGCCAAUACCUUUAUACGACAAAUACGGAAAUGUAACAUACACUCUCUUCUUCGCAGCUGAUUUCAAUGUGGGCACAUACAUUCCACUUGCUAUACUAGCAUCAAUCCUCACUGUUACCAUGGUACUUCUACCGGCAGUGUUUUUGCUAUUUUACCAGAAUUGUUUCUUUCAGAGAUGCCUCUUUUCCUGCAAAAUCAAAUGUGUUCUAAUUCACGAGCUAGCAAACAUCACACAGGGCUAUUUCAAGAAUGGCACAACACCUGGUACUAGGGACUGUCGAUGGUUUGCUGGAGUCUACCUACUGCUGAGAAUAAUAUUCAUAGCCUUUGGUGCUCAGGCAUACCACCUUAUUGUGUACCAAAUGAUAUUCAUUAUUACACCUGCUAUUAUCCUUGGCCUACGACCAUACAAGAAGGAUCGUUACAACUAUUUCGAUUCUUUUCUUUCACUAGUAUUGGCAAUGGGGUUAUCUUGGUACAAUUACCGUGAGGUAUUAAAGAAUAUUGGAUGGAUUUUUGCGGUGAUUAUCGUUAUAGGUAUACUAAUACUGUACAUAAUAUUGUUUAUUUCAUGGAUGAUAUCUGCCUUCACAAGCCAAUGUGGUUUUAGCUUCUGCUGCCGAAGACGAGUUGCACACCCGACAGGAUCGUCUACAGAUAACGAAGCCCUUCCACAUCGUAUCAGUGACCCAAGCGAAUACACACCGUUGUUACCACCAACCACUUGAUUACAUUAACUGCUGUUAGCGGAGUACACUAUAGUACUAGUAAAAGUAGAUACAUGCUUAGAUUAUUUAAUAAACAGUAAAGUGUUCUUUUAGCAACAAAAAUAUCAACAACAUGCAUAAACAUAUACUGCAUGCAUGCCAUUGGACAUAUACCUUAUGUACAGUGCUGCUGUUUAUAGUGAAAGCUUUAAUUCGGGCCAGGGGCUUUAAACCCUUGACAUAACUGAGGAUGGAGUGUGGUGGGUUAUGGGGAUAUAAUUCAUAGUGAGCAUAAAAGAACUGUACGUUUUUAGUAGCCUAUAUACACACUUACUGCAUGUGCCCAAGCCUAUACAUAGCUUCACGGUAUACAUGCAGAAUUAAACUAUGAAGGGACAUGUACUUAUAAUUAUAGUCCAUGCAAAAGUCAAUUUGUAGUUUCUCAGGCUAAAAUAGCAAGCGGAAUGAGGCAACAAUGAUAAAAUGACAAUGAUAUUCAACACCCUCAAUUUCAAAAAGCGAAAGUGUAUAAAUUUAAAUAGUCAUAAUUAUAUUCAUGACUUAAAAAACAUACGCAAGUUCGUGUUUUUGGGGGGCCACAUGAUAUUGGAAAGCUACCAAAUUCCAAGAGCGAGAGCCUGAAAAACUACAAAUUAACUUUGCAUGGCCUUGUUUAUUUACAUACCAAUAAUUUUAUAGGGUAUUGGUUUUCAAUAAUUAUUAUUAUGCCUCGAUUUGCGCAUGCUAUUUUUUUUAGUAUACACACAUGCACACUAUUAAAUGAUUUACUGGCAGAGGAGGCUAAAAUUUGAGAGAGGUCACUGUUCGAGAGAGGCGUUUAUUAGCCUCAGCUAAUUCAACAACCUUUAGUUUGUCAUAAAAAAUUAUUUUCACCUGCACAAACUCGAACUCUGCCAUGAGAAAGUCUUUCAAAAGCACUAACAAGCUGCUACCUAGCUAGCUGCUAUCGUAGAUACCAGUAUCAAUAAUUAUGGCUGUCACGCAAUCUUGUUCACCCUUGCAUGUCCGACCCCCCCUGUCUCAGCCGUAGUGUCUCAGAGAAGGUACGACAGGCGUGGUGCAGCUCAAGCAAUUAGUAUUUGAUUGAGAAAUAAUUAUCUGCCCACGUCGUAUGUUUUUGCUGAGGCUAAUUACUUGAGCUGCACUGCGCCUGUCGGACCUACUCUGGUAGCGUCUACUGUGCUUCUGCUAGUCUCAUAAAUCAGCCGUCCUCUAAAAGAAGAGCGGCCUAAUCGUGAAUCUAUAUUUUAGAGGGCAGCUGGUUCACAGUACGGUUGGAAAAUCCACGAAUCAAAAUCCAAAGAACAUGGCUAGAAGCCUAUAGAGCUAGUUUUAGUCGCAUUGCAACCGUUGAGCAGUCACAGCUAGAACACACGCGCACAUGCACACACAAACAGUCAGCUUUACCGUGUUCCUCGUGCGGCUACACCUCGAGGCAUAUAAGCUAACAACUUGUUGUGUGGAGGCAUCCAUGCUGUAAGCACAGUGGUAAGCAGGUGAGCAGGCUCAAAUGUCACAAACAAACCAACGGACUACCAUCCCGCUGGCCGCAGCACAGCCUUGGGUUAACAAACAAACCAAAGGACUACUAUAACCCGUUGGCCGUGAGUUAAUUAACGAUUGUGGCCUUUGUCAAUAAACGCCCAUCUUGCCCAUAUAUGGGGCGUGGCACUAUGGGUGGAGCUGAAAUAGCUCAGUGGGAGUAUAAUGAGGAAGUACCAGAGGAGGCGCGAAGCACUUAACCUUUGCUCAUUAGGUCUCUAAUUACCGUUGUGUUAAUUGCAUGCCAGUCUCGUAAACUAGCCGCCCUUCCUAAGUGAGAGACCUAGGAAGGGCGGCUGAUUCGUGAGACUAACCAACAAGCUGAAAGACAUCAUGCAAGACAGCCUGGAGCAAAGAGCUUGCCAUCAAUAGAAUCAUGUCAGGGAACACUCCAAAACAACCAGCUAUAAGAAGCCAUCAACUAUGAGAAGUUAUAUCAGGACCAUGCAUGUACCACAGCAGAAGAGCCUGAGGCCUCCUUUUACAAUGUAUAUACGUAUAAAGUGGACCGUACAUGCAUGCUACAUGCAACAAAGGCCAGCUAUUGAGAAGCCUGGCCAAAAUCUCAUCCGCCCUGUGUUCGACUGUGGGAAGGAGCAGCUCAAUACUUGACUGAAAGUGGUCGCAAAGCAGCUAGGCUAAACGCACAAUUAAUGUGCAUGUGACGCUCAUUCAACUCUAAAAUGAUCUUGUUGUUGCCAAACCAGUUCAAGAUACGACAAGAAAUGAAGAUUUUGAUGAGCUCGAGCAUUCUUCCUCAUUAGUAUUCACACCUGAGUUUGCCAAUGUGGUCAAUGUCGAUGGAUUGAGAAUUAAAGACGGCAAGGUGUUUGUUAUUUGGAAGUGGCAGGUGCUACAUCCACAAGACAAGACGGUAAUAAUAGUGAGGGGAAUUGCUGUUUGUUUUCGGCCAACGAAACCCCGGACUAUUCAGACGCAGAGUCAUUGGAAAUCGAUCAACGCAAAAUUAGGUUAGGCGACAACAGUACUUAAUCAAUGUGUACUUCAACAUUAAUUUGAUGGCCAUACACCUUUCGUUGCUAUGUUAGCAAAAAAAACCUGGGCCCAUACGGUAUGACAUA